CAACAAAGGGACUCAAAAGAUGACGAGGGACAGAUAACGGAGCGUACUCAAACAACAGGCUAAGGUUGCGGUCUGUUCUGCGGAGACAGACAGAGCCACUCCCAAAUGGCCAUGCUGGCUCUCCCUUUAGUCGUCACCAUUCUCAGGCCCCACGCCUCCCAGUUUUGCCUCCUCCGCCAUGGAUCCCCCUACCCCCACCGCCUUUUCCACCCCCUCGCCGGCCGCUGCAGCCGCCACUUCUCCAGGGCCUCUCCCGUCUCAGCAAUCAGCAGCGGAACCUCCGCCGCCCCUCAGCACUCGUCCACUGAUGAAGAGCCCCACAAGGCAUCUGCUGCUCCCACUUUUCAGCAGGCCAUCCAGCGGCUGCAGGAAUAUUGGGCUUCAGUUGGUUGUGCUGUAAUGCAAUGUAGCAAUACUGAGGUUGGAGCUGGGACUAUGAAUCCUCUGACAUAUUUGAGAGUUCUUGGUCCAGAACCGUGGAAUGUUGCUUAUGUAGAACCUAGUAUUCGACCGGAUGAUAGUCGUUAUGGGGAAAACCCUAAUAGGCUCCAACGUCACACUCAAUUUCAGGUUAUACUGAAGCCUGACCCUGGGAAUUCACAAGAUUUAUUUAUACGAAGUCUAGCAGCGUUAGGUAUUGAUGUCAGUGAACAUGACAUACGAUUUGUGGAGGAUAACUGGGAGAGCCCGGUGUUGGGAGCAUGGGGUCUGGGCUGGGAGAUAUGGAUGGAUGGAAUGGAAAUUACACAGUUCACCUAUUUCCAGCAGGCGGGAAGUCUUCCAUUGAUGCCUGUAUCUGUUGAAAUCACUUAUGGGCUCGAGCGCAUCCUUAUGUUACUUCAGGGGGUAGAUCAUUUCAAAAAGAUUCGAUAUGCUGAUGGAAUAACAUAUGGGGAACUCUUUUUGGAGAAUGAGAAGGAAAUGAGUGCAUAUUACCUGGAGCAUGCAAGUGUCGACCAUGUUCAGAAACACUUUGACUUGUUUGAAGAAGAAGCUCGUUCAUUGCUUGCGUUGGGCCUUCCUAUUCCUGCGUAUGAUCAGCUUCUGAAGACAUCGCAUGCUUUCAAUGUGUUGGACUCCCGAGGUUUUGUUGGAGUGACAGAACGUGCUCGCUACUUUGCUCGGAUGCGCAGUUUAGCUCGGCAAUGCGCUCAGCUGUGGUUAAAGACGAGGGAGUCUUUGGGACAUCCUCUUGGUAUUGUUUCUGAACCUGCUCAUGUUGCUUGUCCGAAAGAGGUUUUGGAGGAAGCUGCGAAAAGAGUCCAAGAUCGAGCAAGGUUAUUUGUACUCGAAGUUGGAACUGAGGAAAUGCCACCCGAUGAUGUAGUUAAUGCAAGGCAGCAACUUAAAGAUCUAGUAUUGCUUUUGCUGGAAAGCAAACGGUUCAGUCAUGGUGAAGUGCGAGCAUUUGGAACACCUCGUAGGCUUGUGAUUACUGUGGAGAGUCUUGAAGCUAAGCAGAUGGAGAAUGAGGUCGAAGUUCGAGGACCUCCUGUUUCUAAGGCAUUUGAUGAACAAGGAAAGCCCACAAAGGCUGCUGAAGGAUUUUGUCGUCGAUAUUCUAUUGGCAUGGAGUCCUCAUUCAGAAAGACUGAUGGUAAAACUGAUUACGUGUAUGCCCGUGUGAAGGAGUCAGCUCGAUUUGCUCUAGAGGUCUUAUCUGAAGAUUUGCCUGGCACAAUAUCAAAGAUGUCAUUCCCAAAGUCCAUGCGCUGGAACUCUCAGGUCAUGUUUAGCCGACCUAUUCGAUGGAUUUUGGCUCUCCAUGGGGAUGUCGUUGUGCCAUUUACAUUUGCUGGACUAUCAAGUGGAAAUCUAUCGUACGGCCUUCGGAAUACUCCUUUUGCUACUGUGACAGUAGGAAGUGCAGAAUCUUAUGUGGAUUCAAUGACGAAGGCUGGUAUUGAACUGGAUAUAGAGGAACGCAAGAAUAAGAUAUUGGAGGUCUCCAGCGCUUUAGCAUCUACUGUGAAUGGGCAAAUUGUUGCUAAGGAAGGAUUACUGAACGAGGUUGUGAAUCUUGUUGAAGCUCCUGUUCCUAUACUGGGGAGGUUCAAUGAAUCUUUCAUGGAGCUUCCUGAUGAUCUAUUGACUAUGGUCAUGCAGAAGCAUCAGAAAUAUUUUGCUGUAAGUGAUGCUAAAGGGGCGCUCUUGCCAUACUUCAUCGCUGUUGCAAAUGGAGCCAUUAAUGAGGCAGUAGUGAGAAAAGGAAAUGAAGCUGUUCUCAGAGCUCGCUAUGAAGAUGCAAAGUUUUUUUAUGAGAUGGAUACGCGUAAAAGUUUUGCAGAAUUCCAAGGCCAGUUGAAUGGCAUUCUUUUCCAUGAAAAGCUGGGUACAAUGCUUGAUAAGACAACCCGCCUGCAGAACACAGUUGUUAGAGUGAGUUCUGCAAUGGGCCUUACCAGCGAGAAAGUGAAACUCGUCCAAGAUGCUGCAUCACUAGCAAUGUCAGAUCUUUCCACGGCAGUCGUAACCGAGUUCACAUCGCUUGCGGGAAUUAUGGGACGUCAUUAUGCUCUGAGAAAUGGCUAUCGUGAGGAGAUAGCUGAGGCGUUGUUUGAGAUCACACUCCCACGAUUUUCUGGAGAUAUUCUUCCCAAAUCUGAUGUGGGGAUUGUUUUGGCCAUUGCUGACAGAUUGGAUAGUCUAGUUGGCUUGUUUGCUGCUGGUUGUCAACCUAGUUCAACCAAUGAUCCUUUUGGUCUACGGAGAAUUUCAUAUGGUCUUGUUCAACUGCUUGUGGAAAAAGAUAAAAAUCUCGAUUUGAAGAAAGCUUUACAGAUAGCUGCUGUUGUACAGCCCAUUGAAGUCGAGGAGACCACAUUACUUGAUGCCCAUCAAUUUGUCACUCGGAGAUUGGAGCAAUAUUUGGUUGAUAGAGGAAUUAGUCCCGAAGUAGUUCGAUCUGUCCUCUCUCAACGUGCGAAUGUGCCUAGUCUGGCAGCAAAGUCGGCUUUCAGAAUGGAAGCAUUGUCCAAAGGUGAGCUUUACCCAAAGGUGGUCGAAGCGUACUCUCGUCCAACAAGAAUCGUCCGUGGAAAGGACAUCAAUGCUGAUAUAGAGGUGGAUGAGGCUGCAUUCGAGACAACGGAAGAAAGAGAAUUAUGGAGUGCCUUCUCGGCAGUGAAAAGCCAAAUCAGUGCGGAUGUCGAGGUUGACACCUUUUUCGACUCAUCUGCUCAACUCGUGCAACCGCUGGAAGAUUUCUUCAAUAAUGUCUUCGUCAUGGUGGAAAACACUAAAAUCAGAGAGAACAGACUUGCCCUGCUCAAGCAAAUUGCAGACCUUCCUAAAGGCAUUGCGGAUCUCUCAGUAUUGCCGGGAUUUUAAGGCAUGGAUUCAGGCAUUCCUCAUUUAUUCUUUCGAGUUCCUUUUGGCAGGAUAGAAGCAUACAGAUUUCGGGGAGGUUACACAUUGUACUUGUAAUAGGCCUGUCCAUACAUACAGUUGAGUAGUAUUGUUUCAGAUGGGGGCAAUAAAGCUUUGUGCCGUUGAUGGGCAGCCAGCAAUAGAUAAAUUGAUUUUUUCUUUUUGCUUUUUUUGGCUUGGUGGGACUGAAUCUCCAUUGAUGUCAUGUUGAGGAGACAUGGAUGUAAUGGUCAAAUGAUGGGCUGGUUUGAUUGAGAUUAAGAUGAGAUCUCCGAUGUUCAUCUUCAGCUCGCACAAUCUUGAUGGUCGGAUGGUUACUUUUCCUUUUUGGGGAUGUGUUUCAGCUCUGAUCCUCUGCUAGAUUGAUGGAUGGCACUGUUGGGGAAGGACGAUCAUCGUCAUCGGAAUGGACGACGCAGUCACUUUUGUGCGAUUCCCUCAGAUUUCAUUGCAGACUCUGUUUGAAAUUAUUGCUCGUUUCUUAUCAGAAGCGAGAAUCGAGAUGAAAAUUUCUGAAAUAAAAUUUGGAAAAUCAGAUCUUGUUCUCUUUGCUUAUGCAAAUUUAUGGGAAAAUCUUGUAUGGUCGGCGUGCUUGGAAAGGAGCAAUAACAUGUGUUGCGGACUUAGGAUUA